rnacentral:rRNA from 1 species
GACGAACGCUGGCGGCGUGCUUAACACAUGCAAGUCGAACGGAAAGGCCCUGCUUUUGUGGGGUGCUCGAGUGGCGAACGGGUGAGUAACACGUGAGUAACCUGCCCUUGACUUUGGGAUAACUUCAGGAAACUGGGGCUAAUACCGGAUAGGAGCUCCUGCUGCAUGGUGGGGGUUGGAAAGUUUCGGCGGUUGGGGAUGGACUCGCGGCUUAUCAGCUUGUUGGUGGGGUAGUGGCUUACCAAGGCUUUGACGGGUAGCCGGCAUGAGAGGGUUACCGGCCACAUUGGGACUGAGAUACGGCCCAGACUCCUACGGGAGGCAGCAGUGGGGAAUAUUGCACAAUGGGCGGAAGCCUGAUGCAGCAACGCCGCGUGCGGGAUGACGGCCUUCGGGUUGUAAACCGCUUUCGCCUGUGACGAAGCGUGAGUGACGGUAAUGGGUAAAGAAGCACCGGCUAACUACGUG